rnacentral:rRNA from 1 species
UACGAAGGGUGCAAGCGUUAUUCGGAUUGAUUGGGCGUAAAGGGUGCGCAGGCGGCGCAUUAAGUCAGCUGUUAAAUUUCCCAGCCUAACUGGGAGCAAGCGGCAGAAACUGAUGUGCUAGAGGAUGGAAGAGAGAAGUGGAAUUCUCGGAGUAGCGGUAAAAUGCGUAGAUCUCGAGAGGAACACCAAUGGCGAAGGCAGCUUCUUGGUCCAUAUCUGACGCUCAUGCACGAAAGCGUGGGGAGCAAACAGG